CCCCCCAGGGAACACUUGUCAAUGUCUGAAGAUAUUCUGAUUAUCAUGACUGAGGGGGAGCUACUGCAAUCUAGUGGGUAGAGGCCAAGGAUGCUUCUAAACAUCCUACAAUGUAUAAGACAGCUCCCAUGACAAAGAAUUACCUGGCCCAGAAAGUCAAUAUGGCAAAGUUGAGAAACCCAAGCAUCUUAAUCUGUGGUCCAUAUUCCUUUUCAAUGAUCCAUGGAUGGAACUGAAUAAAAGCAGGGAAGAAUAUAUUAUACGUUGACAAUCCAGAUGAUUAGAAAUAUAAUUUAUCUCAAUUGUCCUUUAAACAAGCAUUUAUCAUUGCACAUCACAAAUAAAAUCUAUUAAGAAGAAUAUUUCUACUUAGGAUUUCUUUGGAACACAGAUAUAAAGAAAGAUGAGCUUAUAAAUGAUGCAAUCAUAGAUUCAAAUGAGAAGUGAAGAGGAAUAUGAAAAACCUACAUGUUUUGGUCAACAUUGCCUGUUUGAGAUGCCUGUCUGAAUUCUCCUUGGUUUGUAAUCCAUCCAGUGUACUCAAAAACUCCUCAGUAAAUAAAGUCAACCCUCCUCCA